rnacentral:rRNA from 1 species
UGCUGGCACGUAGUUAGCCGGUGCUUUUUCUGCAGGUACCGUCACUUUCGCUUCUUCCCUGCUAAAAGAGGUUUACAACCCGAAGGCCUUCGUCCCUCACGCGGCGUUGCUGCAUCAGGCUUGCGCCCAUUGUGCAAUAUUCCCCA